rnacentral:snRNA from 1 species
GAGAGCAGAAGUGGUUGUGACAUGUGCCACCCCAGUGAUCGUCAGUGUUGAUUCAGCUGAAGCUAAUCUGGCUUGCUAGUCAGGUGUCACUUCAUCCCUAGGAGCCUCAUUUGUAUCCCUUUGGUCCUUCCUGAAGCUGAUCUCCAUACAAGAGGAUGACAUUCCCUGAAGAGAGGAAAACCAGUCUUUGGUCAAGAGUGUACAAGUAGCUGUGAUCCCAGGAUAGAGUCUCAAGAAAUCAAAACCUGUAAUGAAUAUUUGCCUAAUAAAGUUUUUACAAAAUCACAACCCCAAGAGACGU